rnacentral:rRNA from 1 species
GAUGAACGCUGGCGGCGUGCCUAAUACAUGCAAGUCGAGCGAACGGACGAGAAGCUUGCUUCUCUGAUGUUAGCGGCGGACGGGUGAGUAACACGUGGAUAACCUACCUAUAAGACUGGGAUAACUUCGGGAAACCGAAUCUAAUACCGGAUGAUAUUUUGAACCGCAUGGUUCAAAAGUGAAAGCCGGUCUUUCUGUCACUUAUAGAUGGUUCCGCGCUGCAUUAGCUAGUUGGUAAGGUAACGGCUUACCAAGGCAACGAUGCAUAGCCGACCUGAGAGGGUGAUCGGCCACACUGGAACUGAGACACGGUCCAGACUCCUACGGGAGGCAGCAGUAGGGAAUCUUCCGCAAUGGGCGAAAGCCUGACGGAGCAACGCCGAGUGAGUGAUGAAGGUCUUCGGAUCGUAAAACUCUGUUAUUAGGGAAGAACAUAUGUGUAAGUAACUGUGCACAUCUUGACGGUACCUAAUCAGAAAGCCACGGCUAACUACGUG